CGCGGCCUAUCAGCUUGUUGGUGGGGUGAUGGCCUACCAAGGCGACGACGGGUAGCCGGCCUGAGAGGGUGACCGGCCACACUGGGACUGAGGCACGGCCCAGACUCCUACGGGAGGCAGCAGUGGGGAAUAUUGGACAAUGGGCGAAAGCCUGAUCCAGCAACGCCGCGUGAGGGAUGACUGCCUUCGGGUUGUAAACCUCUUUCAGCGGGGACGAAGCGAAAGUGACGGUACCCGCAGAAGAAGCACCGGCCAACUACGUGCCAGCAGCCGCGGUAAUACGUAGGGUGCGAGCGUUGUCCGGAAUUAUUGGGCGUAAAGGGCUCGUAGGCGGUUUGUCACGUCGGGAGUGAAAACUCAGGGCUCAGCCCUGAGCCUGCUUCCGAUACGGGCAGACUAGAGUGCGGUAGGGGAGACUGGAAUUCCUGGUGUAGCGGUGAAAUGCGCAGAUAUCAGGAGGAACACCGGUGGCGAAGGCGGGUCUCUGGGCCGUAACUGACGCUGAGGAGCGAAAGCGUGGGGAGCGAACAGGAUUAGAUACCCUGGUAGUCCACGCCGUAAACGUUGGGCGCUAGGUGUGGGGCUCUUUCCACGAGUUCCGUGCCGCAGCAAACGCAUUAAGCGCCCCGCCUGGGA
rnacentral:rRNA from 1 species